CCUUACUGCUAUCGGGGUGGGACUCAGACAUGCGAGUCGAGCGUCUCUAGCUAUGUUGAGACGCGGCAGACGGCUCAGUAACACGUGGCUAACCUACCCUCAGGACGAGGAUAAACCCGGGAAACUGGGGCUAAUACUCGAUAGGUGAGAAUGUCUGGAAUGAUUUCUCAUUCAAAGGGCCUUAGAAACAUGCUUCUAAAGUCGCCUGGGGAUGGGGCCGCGUCCGAUCAGGUUGUUGGUGAGGUAACGGCUCACCAAGCCUAUAACCGGUACGGGCCGUGAGAGCGGUAGCCCGGAGAUGGGUACUGAGACAAGGACCCAGGCCCUACGGGGCGCAGCAGUCGCGAAAACUCCGCAAUGCACGAAAGUGUGACGGGGCUACCCCGAGUGCCAUCCGCUGAGGAUGGCUUUUCUUUGGUGUAACUAGCCGGGGGAAUAAGGAGAGGGCAAGACUGGUGUCAGCCGCCGCGGUAAUACCAGCUCUCCGAGUGGUAGGGAUGAUUAUUGGGCUUAAAGCGUCCGUAGCCGGCUUAGCAAGUCUCCUGUUAAAUUCAGCGACCUAAUCGUUGAGCCGCGGGAGAUACUACUAGGCUAGGAGGCGGGAGAGGUCGACGGUACUUCUGGGGUAGGGGUGAAAUCCUAUAAUCCCGGGAGGACCACCAGUGGCGAAGGCUGUUGACUAGAACGCGCUCGACGGUGAGGGACGAAAGCUGGGGGAGCGAACCGGAUUAGAUACCCGGGUAGUCCCAGCCGUAAACGAUGCGGGCUAGGUGUUGGGGUGGCUACGUGCCACUUCAGUGCCGCAGGGAAGCCAUUAAGCCCGCCGCCUGGGGAGUACGGCCGCAAGGCUGAAACUUAAAGGAAUUGGCGGGGGAGCACCACAAGGCGUGAAGCUUGCGGUUC
rnacentral:rRNA from 1 species